CUCUGGGACGCGUGAGAGACGUUCCUCGAGCCGAAUUUUGUCGGGAGGACCCGGCAACGGACAGUCAAAAAGAUCUGACUGUGACUUUGGAGGUCGAGUUCGGCUGCCUAUUUAAGUAUAGGCACGGACAAGUGUGCUUAGAUGUGUUAGUGUCUGUUGUCUGUAUUCUGUUUCUGUGUUUGGUAUCCCGGAAGCAGCUAAGGUUAAGCUGCAGUUUGGGCCAGGUACUGAAGGUACCAGGCAUCUGUG
rnacentral:lncRNA from 1 species